ACGAACGCUGGCGGCGUGCCUAAUCCAUGCAAGUAGAACGCUGAAGAGAGGAGCUUGCUCUUCUUGGAUGAGUUGCGAACGGGUGAGUAACGCGUAGGUAACCUGCCUGGUAGCGGGGGAUAACUAUUGGAAACGAUAGCUAAUACCGCAUAAAAUUGAUUAUUGCAUGAUAAUUAAUUGAAAGAUGCAACUGCAUCACUACCAGAUGGACCUGCGUUGUAUUAGCUAGUUGGUGAGGUAACGGCUCACCAAGGCGACGAUACAUAGCCGACCUGAGAGGGUGAUCGGCCACACUGGGACUGAGACACGGCCCAGACUCCUACGGGAGGCAGCAGUAGGGAAUCUUCGGCAAUGGGGGGAACCCUGACCGAGCAACGCCGCGUGAGUGAAGAAGGUUUUCGGAUCGUAAAGCUCUGUUGUAAGAGAAGAACGGGUGUGAGAGUGGAAAGUUCACACUGUGACGGUAUCUUACCAGAAAGGGACGGCUAACUACGUG
rnacentral:rRNA from 1 species